rnacentral:lncRNA from 1 species
GACCUCGGGCCUAAAUUAUAUUCCUUUAUAGUCAGGCUUCAGGCCGGUCUUAUCUAAAAUUUGAUACUUUCAGUGCAGAAUGUGGCCAUGAUCAACUCUAGCUCGGACUGCACCACUUGCAGAUUGCACUUGAAGAUCGAGUAGUUGGGGCUGAACUGCUAGCUAUCAGUUCAAACCCGGCCAUACUUGCAGCAAGAAUAAAAAUGGAGGGAGAG